UGUAAGCGUAUACCAAAGUUGUUGCAGUUGAAACGCUCGUAGUCGGAAUUUGGCAGUUCCGGAUGUGUGCACGUCGUGUGCGCACUUCGCGGGGAUUGCUUUUGUGGUCUUGCGUAGGAUGAGGCACUUUUAUUAGUGAACGUCCUCACGCAACCACUUUUUACUGUGAGAAAAUCAGAGUGCUCAAAGCAGGCAUUUGCCGUGAAUGUAUUAGCAUGGAAUAAUAGAAUAGGACUUGGUUCUAUUUUGUUGGUUUGUUGGGACUGAGUAAUGAUUAAGAGGGACAGUUGGGGGCAUUUGUAUUUCGGUGCUAGAGGUGAAAUUCUUAGAUUACCGAAAGACAAACUGCUGCGAAAGCGUCUGCCAAGGAUGUUUUCAUUGA
rnacentral:rRNA from 1 species